AACCCCGUCUUAGCCACCCGAGAUCGACCACUCACAGCUCUGUGAGGCCCUAAGAUGUUCGGGGCCGCCCGCGUCGCUCCACUGACCGGAUCAGCGUGUGCUCUCCUUGGCCGACAGGUCCGGGAAACCCCUUGAACCCCGGUCGUGCUAGGGAUAGGGAAUUGCAAUUAUUUCCCUUGAACGAGGAAUUCCCAGUAAGCGCGAGUCAUUAGCUCGCGUUGAUUACGUCCCUGCCCUUUGUACACACCGCCCGUCGCUACUACCGAUUGAAUGGUUUAGUGAGGUCCUCCGAUUGGACCCGGUCCGGGCGGCGACGUCCGAGCCGGCGUCCGAGAAGACGAUCUAACUUGAUCAUUUAGAGGAAGUAAAAGUCGUAACAAGGUUUCCGUAGGUGAACCUGCGGAAGGAUCAUUA
rnacentral:ncRNA from 1 species